CGUUAUGAAGCUAUAUAAGCAUUAACCUUUUAAGUUAAAGACUGGGAAUAUACAUUCCCCAUAACGA
rnacentral:tRNA from 1 species